rnacentral:rRNA from 1 species
UCUAAGUAUAAGCAACUAUACGGUGAAACUGCGAAUGGCUCAUUAAAUCAGUUAUCGUUUAUUUGAUAGUACCUUACUACAUGGAUAACCGUGGUAAUUCUAGAGCUAAUACAUGCUAAAAACCUCGACUUCGGAAGGGGUGUAUUUAUUAGAUAAAAAACCAAUGCCCUUCGGGGCUCCUUGGUGAAUCAUAAUAACUUAACGAAUCGCAUGGCCUUGCGCCGGCGAUGGUUCAUUCAAAUUUCUGCCCUAUCAACUUUCGAUGGUAGGAUAGUGGCCUACCAUGGUAUCAACGGGUAACGGGGAAUUAGGGUUCGACUCCGGAGAGGGAGCCUGAGAAACGGCUACCAC